rnacentral:lncRNA from 1 species
UGAUGAAGUAAUCUCCAGUCGUAUUCCAAGUAAUAUGCCAUUCCUAGGAGCACGCCUCACAGACCAUGAGCAAUAACUUCCUCAAAUAAGUCAUGGACUAAUUUCCAGCCUAUUCCUAAACAUUGAAAUGUACAAUCCCUGGAACACAACCCACCGACAAUGAGCUUCCUGAAGUGGUUUAGAACGAUGAAUAUGGAAGUGGCGAAACCCUAUGGUAAAGAGGAGUGGCCUAAAAUGUCCACAUGAAGUUGAGUUCCGUGAGAUUAUAUAAUUAAUAAAUAUAUCGAUUACUCAAGCAAAUCAAUAAUAUUUUAUGAUAAAGACAAUGAAAAAAUAAAGUAAUUAAGGAUGGCUUUACUAGAAGAAAGCGAAAUUCUAACAAAAGAAGCUUGAAACUAAUUUUAAAAUAGUAGAAGUCAAAUUAGAGAAAAUGGAAAUCAAUGAAGGAAAGCAGAAUGGCAGGAUAGAAACCUUGUUGUAAAAGCUUGCAGGAUUGCAAGAAAAACGUGAUAAGAAGAAUACAUUUCGUUAUAAAAACACCAGAUAUUAUUUAAGACCAUGAUCUUAAAUUUGGACAACUCAUUGACAACAUUUUAAAAAAUAUACAAAAAAACCAUUUUACUGUUGCACAAAAACUUGCAAGUGAAAGAGUAAUAUUUUAGACUAACAGUGAUCCUUACACUUAAAAUGACCCUUUUGUAAAUUAAUAUACCAAAUAGUUACAAAUCUCAGUCUCUAUAGUCAUAGAAAUAAAUAAUAUUAAAGCAAAACUUGACCUGGUGUAGUUAGUAAUAAAACUAUUGGCAAUUGAAUCAUGGACAGAAUGUAUAUUAUCUAUUAAAGUGGAACAAUGUACGUCAAAGCAGCACAUAUUACCCAGUAGGAGUAAAGUAAGUACUGGAACAAAUAAAUAACAAUGUUUUCAGUAUCUCGUUCCAAGUAGCCAAAUAUAUAAUGCUAUCUAUCCGCAGAAAGAAAAACUCUUUACAGGCAGCAAAAACAGUCAAAGAGAGCCAUGAAUUUCCCAAACUCCUCAAAGUGCGGAUUACCAGAGAGAAACCACGACCAAAAACUUCCAAUAAGCAAUCGCCUUAUACAGCCCGCAAACUAGAACAAGGUGAGGCAUUUAAAAACAUCUUUACAAAGAACAUUUCGUACUUUAAGAAGAAUUCAGAAGCACGAAUUAACACCCUAAAACAUUCCAGCAGAUACAGGACAAAUCUGAACAGAAACAACAGAAGAAAACUUAAGCUCAAAUAAACAACAAGCCAAGAAAAAAGUCCCUCUAUUAAUUUCUUCUUUUAUAACUGUGUAGUGCAGACUCAGUUCACAAAAAGUACGAAACAAAAACAAUAUAUUCCAACGCACAAGAUCAAAUCUGAAAAAAGUAAUAAAAAUUCUUCAUCAAAAUGAUCAGUAAAUGCAAAACAAAAGGGACAGGGUAAUUAAUUUCCUUGAAGCCACGUAACCGUAUAUAGUUAUUUUGGCUGAAAAUGGACUGAGAAAUGACUUUUUAGAGGACUCAAAAAUUCCUAGAUAUGACUUUAAAAACAACUUUAGACGAGUACCAUAAAAAAAGGUGGAGUGGAAGCAUCCUUAGUGGAGUUAUAUGAAGAAAGCGUUCCGUCAGUAAAUAUUACACACUAAUGCAAUGAAUUCAUCUGUGUAAUGGCCUUGUUAAACAUCUUCCAUAGAAAGGAACAUCUGUACUUUGUAAGCAUAUACACACAGCUUAAAUGAUGCACUACUUCCCUCACUAAUGCUAUGUAGAUGCAGUUCAAAAAAGAAAAAAACAGUGCAUUGAGAACUCUGCUAGAAAAUGAUACCUCGAAUGGAGUGUACAGUGCUUCAGCUGUUGAUAAUGGAUACAACAUUUUAUUAACAACAAACAUACCAUAAACAACGUUUAUGUAUAGUACUUAUCCAUUGGUAAUAAUGAAGCUAAAAAUACUCCAAAACACAAGACCUUCUGAGAUAAAGAAGCCCCAACCUUAAGACAGAUUACCCCAAAUCUUUUAAGACCUUGAUGUAGUCGACCACAUGCACUACCAACACCUGGGAGUACUCAUGAACCACUGGAUUAUGAAUCAGAGUUACAAAUUAUUAGAUGUCUCAUUAUUUUUUGGGUACCCUUGCUGAGUUGCUGGGGAUACUUUCUUUGCACACAACUGCUUAUUCUGCACCAAGCCUGGCUGGCAUACAGGAUAUACAAGGUAUCUACUCCAAGCUAAUGGAUGAGUUGGGUACAUAAAAGGUUGAGGAUUUUGUUGAAUCUGCAUGGAGGGCUGGACUUGCAAUACAGCAAAUUCCUGUUUCAACUGAUGUAGUUGGCGUAGACACUUGAGCAUUGUUUAUAUAUUUAUUCUUGCGAUUUGACUUUGCUUUGAUACGAAAGUUGCUGCUGCAAAUCAUUGACAGAAGUUUUUUUUCCUGGUUCCACAUUCGGUUCAGCCUGUGAUUGGAUCAAGUUGUGCUCCAGAGAAAGUAAAAAUUAUUAAAUGUCGAUUGUGAGUUAAUAUUGCAUGUUUAAUGUGCUGCUGAAACAAAUUGUAGAACCUAAUCUGAUUCUAGCUAACGUUAUUGGUAGCAUUGUCUUGGUAAUAAAUAUUUAUCCCCUGAACGUUAAAUAUUCAUGUUUAGGAGCAUUAAUGGCCACUUUUUGAUUGGUUUGAUGGCCAUUAGGUGAUGUUGAGUGUUAUUGCUCAGACCUGGCAACAUGCUUAUCACUGUACGACACACUACAGCAUAUCCUGGAGUUCCUCCUGUACAAUUCAACAGGUUAUUCCCUACAAUUAGUAGCUAAAAAAGCAACCAAUAAAACCAAAAUUAGCAUCCAACUAAGGCUUACAAAUAACUAGCAUCCUGAUUUACUUGGUGACCUAAAGGAAUUUGAAGAAGAACCAUUUCAUUAUGAGAUUGAAUUUCCAAUAUUUCUGUGCUGUGACAUGUAGUCCAAACAUGAGAGGAUAUGACACUUCAAACACUUUUGUUAGAGUUCUAAUCUUCUUGAUAUUUUGGGUACCAUUAUUAUACGAUAGAUUGAAAAGGAAGGAAGAAUACAGUGCCCUCAGGUUACCUAAGUAUUUCCGUCUACUAUAAACCUAAUGCUGACUAAUUACAGCAUGCUACAACAACCUGUCGAGUUCCAACCCAAAGGCCAUGAUCAAAGGAUAUACCAUGUUUGACCGUUGCUGUGUAGAAAAAUCAUCCCGCGUCUACUGAAGAUCCCUCGACAUUGUACAGAGUUCCAAAGGGAAACAGCUUCGGCAAGCAAAGCAUAGGAUUGUUCAAAGAAUGAAAAACAUGGAACUAGCGAACACCAGUGGUAAAGAAGAAUGGUAUGAAAAAUCCACAUCAAGUUCAAAUAAGUGUGAUGUAAACCCUCCAAUCACCAACACGGAUUAAAAACAUAGUAUAUUUGCUUAAUCACAUUUUACAUAAUUAGGGAACCAUCUUUAACCGAUUAGAAUCACCGCCACCGAUGAUAUCCAAUCCAAUCCUGCAUCAACGUCAGCCCAUCCCAAAGUGCAAGGGUCACAACUUUCUUGUAAUAGUCGCUAAACACAAGCAAACUCGUGUGUGGACAACAAGUCACAGUAUGAAGCAAUUAAAACAAAAAUAAGUGACAAAGGAUAAAACUCGUAUAGGCUCCCAAGUAUACCAGAAAGCUGCUAAUUUUUAAGCCUUACUAUUUGCUGUUAUUUGUAGGUGAUGACCUGUUGAAUUGUACAGGAGGAGCUCCAGGAUAUGCUGCAGUGUAUCGUGCAGUGAUAAGCAUGUUACCAGGCCUUGCGCAAUAACACUCGACAUCAUCUAAUGGCCAUCGAACCCAUCAGCAAGUGACCAUUAAUGCUCCUAAACAUAAAUAGUUUACGUUCAGGAGAUAAAUAUAUAUUACGAAGACAAAUUUAACAUUAACGUUAGCUAUAAUCAGAUUAGGUUCUACAAUAUUUUCAGCAGCACAUUAAACAUGCAAUAUUAACUCACAAUCGACAUUUAAUAAUUUUACUUUCUCUGGAGCACAACUUGAUCCAAUCACAGGCUGAACCGAAUGUGGAACCAGGAAAAAAAACUUCUGUCAAUGAUUUGCAGCAGCAACUUUCGUAUCAAAGCAAAGUCAAAUCGCAAGAAUAAAUAUAUAAACAAUGCUCAAGUGUCUACGCCAACUACAUCAGUUGAAACAGGAAUUUGCUGUAUUGCAAGUCCAGCCCUCCAUGCAGAUUCAACAAAAUCCUCAACCUUUUAUGUACCCAACUCAUCCAUUAGCUUGGAGUAGAUACCUUGUAUAUCCUGUAUGCCAGCCAGGCUUGGUGCAGAGUAAGCAGUUGUGUGCAAAGAAAGUAUCCCCAGCAACUC